rnacentral:lncRNA from 1 species
CUUUCCAGCAUGGUCCAUGGAAAACAUGCAGAGGAAAUGGCCUCACAGCAUUGGCUGAGUGUUUAUGUCGUCCAACCGAGUCUCCAUCGAACUUUUCUGGUGUUGCUGACUUGCCCUAGGUCACCUGAGUUAAAAGAUGUAAGCAAUAAAGCUUUGCCGCAGAAGAUUCUGGUCUGUGGUGUUCUUCCUGGCCGGUUGUGAGAACGC